GAGCUUGGCGACUGCCUUCCCCGGCUGGGUUUCCUUGCUCGCUCGCGCGCGCUCCUUUCGCUUGGAUCUUGUGCAAGCAGCUGUCAGAAAGCGUCCUCGCUUGCAGAGCGCGAAACGGGAACCGCAAGCAGUGCUGGGUGAUCUGCUCACCUCCCUCCCUCCCUCUCCGGGUCACUUGUGUUUGCAAACUGCAGCCGCCUGCCUGCCUGAGAGUCUUGUUUUGCAGCGCGAAAGGAAACCAGCUCUUCAACGCGAAUUGCAUCUCUUCCUCCUCCUCCGUAGUGGUGGCUGGCGCUGGGGCGGACCUGGGCACUGGAGCCCAGACUUGGCACUACAGAGCAGAGGGGGGGGGGCUGCUUUUCUGCAAAACAGCCUCCGCAUUCAGAUUAAUCUGCGCGAUUACUCUCAAUUGUGUUGGGUGCACCUCCUUGCUUUCGCCCUCCGGGCACGCUGACUCAGAGGACAUGCCCAUCUCCUGCUGCGCAGGGGGAAGGAAACUUUUGCAGCCGCCCAGAAGCGCGGGCUGCUUCUGAAUCGGCCCAGGAGUUCCCUGCUGCAGCCUGAGCUUUUCACCCACCUUGGCUAGCUCUCUCGCCGCCUUCCAACCACUGCGCUUUUUUCCUGCACGAUGCGAGGCGCCUUCUUCCGCCUCUCGUUCCCAGACCCAUCCCGUGCCCUUGAGGACCCGGAGCAGCCGCUGUGGUCGUAACACCCCCCUCCCUCCAAGCUUGAGACGUCCCUCUUUACAGCCAAAGGCUCUGGAAAAACAACGCAAUAUAAAACGAGGAGCUCAAACGACCCAUCACUUGGCACGGAGGAGCUUGGAGAGGGUUAGCCGAAGAGCCUGGCUGGAGGAGAGACCUGGCCGGGCCGGUUCCCGCGGGCCUCUCCUCCGACCUUCCCGUCGGAAGGGACAUCGGAGAGAUGGGAAGCACCGCUAUGGACACCAAGAAGAAAGAUGCAGCGCCCGGUGGCAAGAAGAGCAGCGGCCAGAAGAAGCGCCUUCUGCGAGUCCACAUCCCAGAUCUCAGCUCAUUUGCCAUGCCAUUCUUGGAUGGAGACGUGGACAGUGCAGAGAAGCAUGCUUCACGGAAGGCGGAAGACAGCUACAACACAGGGAGUCCUUCCAAAGGACUUUUCCCAAAGGGGCUCCAGAACCGGCCUUCCAGCCCAGCCUCUGCCCCCGUCAAAUCCAAGCACAGUCCCGGCUCGCCCAAAACAGUGUUCCCCUUCCCCUACCAGGAGUCUCCCCCUCGCUCCCCUCGGCGCAUGAGCUUCAGCGGCAUCUUCCGGUCGUCUUCCAAAGACUCUUCCUCUCCUAGCUCCAACGCAUCCACUUCUCCCGGGGGCAUAAAGUUCUUCUCCAGAUCAAGAAAAACCUCUGGUCUUUCCUCCUCUCCCUCGACCCCGACACAAGUGAUCAAGCAGCCAACGUUUCCGCUUGAAUCCUACAAACAUGAACCAGAAAGGCUAGAAACACGGAUUCACACGUCCUCUUCCCCCCCAGAUACAGGCCAGAGACCAAGCCUUCCUCCUGGACAAAGUGUGGCCAAACCUCCCACUUCCACCCCGUGCGCUACCUCAAAAGCCGCAGCUCCUCCUCAGUCCCCGGCCGCCUCCGAAGGGAUGCUGGAGAAACUGGAGCUCGAGGAUGAAGCUGUUGGCGAAUCAGAAAGUGAUAUCUACAUGCGAUUCAUGAGGUCACAUAAGUGUUAUGAUAUUGUUCCAACAAGCUCAAAGCUUGUGGUCUUUGACACUACACUACAGGUAAAGAAAGCUUUCUUUGCCUUGGUAGCAAAUGGUGUCCGAGCAGCUCCUCUGUGGGAGAGUAAAAAACAAAGCUUUGUAGGAAUGUUAACUAUUACAGAUUUCAUUAAUAUACUGCAUAGAUACUAUAAGUCUCCAAUGGUACAAAUCUAUGAAUUGGAGGAGCACAAGAUUGAAACCUGGAGGGAGCUUUAUUUACAAGAAACCUUUAAGCCUUUAGUGAACAUUUCACCAGACGCCAGCCUUUUUGAUGCUGUAUAUUCACUGAUCAAAAACAGAAUCCACAGAUUGCCAGUUAUUGACCCAGUGAGCGGAAAUGCACUUUAUAUACUUACCCAUAAAAGAAUCCUCAAGUUUCUCCAGCUUUUUGUGUCAGAAAUGCCAAAGCCUGCCUUUAUGAAGCAAAAUCUGGAUGAACUUGGGAUAGGAACAUAUGACAACAUCGCCUUUAUACACCCAGACACUCCUAUCAUUAAAGCAUUGAAUAUAUUUGUAGAUAGAAGGAUAUCAGCACUACCUGUUGUGGAUGAGUCAGGAAAAGUUGUAGAUAUUUAUUCCAAAUUUGAUGUAAUAAAUCUUGCUGCUGAAAAAACUUAUAAUAACUUAGAUAUCACAGUGACACAAGCCCUACAACACCGCUCUCAGUAUUUUGAAGGUGUUGUGAAAUGCAGUAAGCUGGAAACACUGGAGACCAUCGUGGACCGGAUAGUUAAAGCUGAGGUGGGUAUGACUGUUCAAAUACAAGAGAAGAGGAGCUCUAAGUUACCUGGCCGGUGCAUCGAUUGGUGGUAGUGAAUGAAGCAGAUAGUAUUGUUGGUAUUAUCUCCCUCUCGGACAUCCUACAAGCUCUGGUGCUCUCACCAGCUGGUGCCAAACAAAAGGAAAGUGAAACUGAAUGAUUGCUGUGAACGUAUAAACCUUUGUAGAAGAACUUGAUUGAAGUUACUGGGUCAUCUUUGCCUCAAGAACACUGGCAGCACUAGAGAAGAGAGAAAUGGGGAUGAGUAUGUGUGUAUUGGGACUGAGUGUUGGGUAACUAGUCUAUUACUUCCCAGUGACUGUCACACACAAAAAGCAGCAUGACAAAAAGCUUAUGUAUUAAAUACAGGCUUGCAUUUCAAAAUGUUUGCUGAAAGACUUCACAUGAUGUCGUUCAUCUAAAAUGCACUGUAUCCUGAAACAAACAUCUUUUGUAUUUGAUAGAAGUCACUGCUCAGCAACAGAUCUCUGACAUAAGGCAAGUGUAUGGCAUAUUCAUAUCAUAGUGCCUUAUGUCAAAAAGCCAACAAUAUGUCAUCGCUGUUGCCCAUCACAAUAAGAGGAAGUAUUGUGUGAAACGAGACACUGUAUUUGAAUGUUCAAGUUGCUAAACCUAAAACCAAAUCAGUUUCAGUUAUCAUUAGAUUUGUCAUAAAAGCUGUAAUUUGAAUAUCAGUAGAUUACCUUAAGACUUUAAUGACAGUUUUGUGUGUUUAUAAAUGUUGCAUUCUGAAGAGAUGGUAAAACAAGACUGAUCUAAAACCAGCUUUAUUUAUUUUUAUUUUCUUGCAAUUUUUUACACAUCUUUGGUGGAUAGCUAAAACUUCACCAUAUUCAUUAAUAAAACAUUGAUUGUUAUAUAA